rnacentral:lncRNA from 1 species
AGUGAUCAAAGUAGAUGGGCAAGUCAACGCCGACAUCAUCAGCAACGACUGAGAACGCACGUCGACCGCUGUGCGUUAACCCCAACAGCAUCUACAGUAUCGAACACUGCGGGCAAGGGCAGUGGUGGUAAUUUACCUGACCUUGGGUCCAACUCCAGGAAGGGUUAGAGAGAGAGAGAGAGAGAGAUUCAUUCCUCCUUAUCCGUUCCUUCCUCCUAAAGAGACAAAAGCCAAGCAAACGAGAGGAGCAUUUUUAAUGUCUGUAUCUAAACUGUACAUGUAUUGUGUUACAAGAGGGGGAGAGAGAGAGAGUUCAGGAAACCUUUGUCUUCUUCCUCCCUUCCAGUCUCUCUCUCUCUCUCUCCUCACUUGUAGCAUUGAUGCCGCUGCACAGAUCCAAACUGGGUUAAGAACUCGAUCCCAUACCACCGGUUCUUAAUAUACAAAUCAAAUCCAAUCUUUCGCCAGCCUAACAUGAGUUGCACACUAGUUUUCUUCCCAAGAACACUAAGCAAAGAGAAUAUGAUGGGUUGGUUGCACAACGAGGGCAUUUCCUGCAAUGAAGGGAGACGCUCCUCUCCCGUCACAGCAUAUGCAUCAAUCUAUCAACACCCAACUGGCCUACUCUCACUGUAAUCAUCCUUGGGAUCAUCUCGACAUGAGAUUUCUACGAUCCUCCACGUUGAUCGGCCCGUCUCAUCACUUGGUGAAACACACAAAUGCCUUGACUAUUUGAUUUGAGAUUUCCUGGAGAGUGCAAAAUAUUUUAUGCACUGUUUUCUUGCGUAGAUCGGAAAAGAAGGCCUAUAGAUGUGAUUGAGAUGAAAUCUACCGCUUUCUACUUCGUCUUCCUCCUCCUCCUGCACUACGCAGUGAGGGUGGGGUCCACUCCGCCGAGUUAUUUCCAUUAAGGCCGCCCGAAUUUGUCGCCUCCUUCUCUGCCUUCGACAGCUCCCUACUCUCCUCGCGUGCUGCUUUCUACCUCCUCUCUCUCUCUCUCUCUCUCUCUCUCUGUCUUUUGUUAUCCGCGCCUCGUUCUUUCNNNNNNNNNNNNNNNNNNNNUCCUCUCUCUCUCUCUCUCUCUCUCUCUCUGCUUUUUGUAUCCGCGCCUCGUCUUUCUUUGCCAUUGAUAGUUUCCCCGGGAUUAGCGGGAUCGAUGACAGGAAGAAGCGAAAGAGGGUACCGGGAAGAAGCGUAGUCGGUGCCGGGAGAGGGAGGAG